GUCUACAAAUGUGAGCGCGAUUGAAAUCAACUUUUACCUCUGUCCGGUUUCAAAUCGAUCAGCUGAUGUUUGGAAAAUGGGUCAAAGAAAUUAUGCUUUGCUGAGAUAAAGACCACGUAUGACCAAAGUUUCAGCUUAAUUGAAUUUUAGUGCCAAAUUAUAACUCACUGAAUAACUGGACUUGGGCGCAGGAGGGGUGGAGGAGAAGGCAGUGAAGGACAGGCAAUUCUAAUGGAAAUCCAGCCACCCUGGACUGGGGUCCUGUGGCCGCAUGGGCACAAUAAGAACUGCAGCUUGAUUCCAAGUCUGGCAUGCUGCAGUUCAUGGGGUCGCAAGGAGUCAGACACGACUGAGUGAGCAUCCGUGUAUAUUUAAGCACAUGCUGCUUGGAGGCACCGACCACGGAAAGCUUUAAAACCUGGCUGAUAAGCACCUCCGGAGGAGCAGGGGCUGUGCCUGCCCCACGGCAAUCUUCUAAUCUAAACUUCUUCGUAUUUCUCACGUCGGCACCGUUUCGACUGAUGAUCUCAAGGUGGUUCCCGAUAGAUCAGGAUGGACAGGGUAGAGCACCAUCCUUACGUGAAAAGUAUCAACUCGUUUCUGCUCUUCAGCAUUGUGGAGAAGCCGAGGAAACUGGAGCUCCAUGAGGCUAAAUGUCUCAUCCACCAUUGAGCAGGGAUUCACACCAGACGCCAGACUUCAAGAGUGGAGCCAGCUAUAACCAUGGAAGUCGGAAACACUCACCCAUGAUGAUCAGAGGAUGUCUUCAGACUGGAUCUGUCCUGUGAACAUGUUCUUUAACAGCUGCAGAAAAACCAAGAAGACCCACAGGCAAAUUUCGAAGAUCGCAUGGCUAAUUUACAAACAAGGGGGAAACAGAACGCUGAGAAACUCAGCGCCUCCAAAGACUGCAGUAGAUGGGAAACAAUUCGGAAAGCGGCCUCCGCGACUUUCAGAGAGCGCGUGCCUCGUUCGACCUCCUACGCAGAAACCCACAGCAGAAUGUGUGCGCGGCGAGCACGUGGCCGCGCUGCCCUCGCUUCCCCCGAGUCCUUCCGCGCACAGGAGGGUCCUUGACCAAGCACAGGAGGGUCCCAUCGCGCACAGGAGGGUCCCAUCGCGCACAGGAGGGUCCCAUCGCGCACAGGACGGCCCCAUCGCGCACAGGAGGGCCCCUCCUCCGGGCUCCUUUUCGAUGCCUAGGAAUCUCAAGACCGAGCAUGUUGGAGAAGCAAGCGGUCAUCACAAGGCCCUUGGGACCCCGGAGGAACCUCUGCAGGAGCAGACACAUUCUUUACCUCAGAGCCACCGGGAGAGCUCCUUGAAAGCUAAUAUCACCUGUUAAAUGCCUUCGAUGGAUAAACUCAGCCCCAUUUUGAGGAUCUGCCCUGCCUCACGCCCAGUAUGAGGCCCUGGGGCUUCCAAGGCAGAGUAGCUGGGUUCCUGCCCGCAAGGGCAGAGGGGCUCAUUCUCUGAUCCCUGCCGUCUGGAGCAGCUGGUAUUUCCUAAACUUUUCUGUGUAUAUCGUUGGAAGCACAGCGUUACCACUCUAAAGAGGGACACGGAGGAGCCGAAUGCCAGUGGAGUUCUGUAAUGUGGGCUGCAGUGUAAACUGUGGUAGGGUUGAACUGAGGACUCUUCUAGAAAAACCUGUAAGUAAUUAAGUUCUCCCUCCAGCAAGGUAAAAGCUGAGUCUGAAGUCUAUUAACACAAAGGAGAGUGAAACCUUUGUUGGUGGUUUUAUAUAUAUAUAUAUUUUUUUCUUUUUUAAUGUAAAUAAAUAAAAAAUUCUGGCAAAACAAACAAAAAAACCCACCCCCAAAACCCUCGUAUCUUGUUACUGGCUUAAGGAGAAAAGGAAAGAUGCUGCCUUUGUUGGCCGCAUGUUUCACAUUGCUGAGGUCAGAACAAAACUUAGAUUACCCUGUUUCAGCAACUCCCAAACCAUGUUCUGGGGAAUAUAAGAUAUUUCCUGGGGAGGAGGGAGGAAAGAUUUCAUGGCCAGCUCAGUUGCAGAAACCUUCCAUAUAAUUUCCCCCUCUCUGGAGAUUCACAAUGCUCUGUAGCUUGUUAGGAGAAUGCUGUUUGCCUUGGCUUAACCCAGCAGUUUAAUCUGGUGUGACCAGAGUCCUUUUUCACAGGGCACCUGCUCCCAUCCAAGGGGAAGUACCGCUUACUUCACCUCCAGCAGAAACACUGCCCACUGGCAGCUGAUCUUCCCUGCUUGUCCUUGUCUACACUUGCCCUGUGGCUCUUUAUCGACAUCGGCGGUGUUCUCAGUCUUGCGAUGCGUGUAUCCAGCUUUCAGGAAAGACUGCAUGCUCCAUGAGGACAGACACUUUUCCUGUAUCAUCUUUGUAUCCCCAGCGUGCCUGCUGCAAGUAUGGGAGCAUUUGAUUACCAUACAUGUGGCUUAUCUCGGGAGACUGGGCCGCAGGACCUCCGAUCCGCAUCUGCAUUUGCUGGACUCCCGGCCCGUCCCCGCCCCCCGCCCCCUGCGCCUGGGCAGCCACGGCUCUGUUCUCUACGUCUGUGAGUCCGCC